rnacentral:miRNA from 1 species
UGACUAGACCGAACACUCGCGUCCU